rnacentral:rRNA from 1 species
ACGGGUGAGUAACGCGUGGGAAUCUACCCAUCUCUACGGAAUAACGCAUGGAAACGUGUGCUAAUACCGUAUACGUCCUUCGGGAGAAAGAUUUAUCGGAGAUGGAUGAGCCCGCGUUGGAUUAGCUAGUUGGUGGGGUAAAGGCCUACCAAGGCGACGAUCCUUAGCUGGUCUGAGAGGAUGAUCAGCCACACUGGGACUGAGACACGGCCCAGACUCCUACGGGAGGCAGCAGUGGGGAAUAUUGGACAAUGGGCGCAAGCCUGAUCCAGCCAUGCCGCGUGAGUGAUGAAGGCCCUAGGGUUGUAAAGCUCUUUCACCGGUGAAGAUAAUGACGGUAACCGGAGAAGAAGCCCCGGCUAACUUCGUGCCAGCAGCCGCGGUAAUACGAAGGGGGCUAGCGUUGUUCGGAUUUACUGGGCGUAAAGCGCACGUAGGCGGACUAUUAAGUCAGGGGUGAAAUCCCGGGGCUCAACCCCGGAACUGCCUUUGAUACUGGUAGUCUUGAGUUCGAGAGAGGUGAGUGGAAUUCCGAGUGUAGAGGUG